AUUGAACGCUGGCGGCAGGCCUAACACAUGCAAGUCGAGCGGAUGAAGGGAGCUUGCUCCUGGAUUCAGCGGCGGACGGGUGAGUAAUGCCUAGGAAUCUGCCUGGUAGUGGGGGAUAACGUCCGGAAACGGGCGCUAAUACCGCAUACGUCCUGAGGUAGAAAGGGGGGGAUCUUCGGACCUCACGCUAUCAGAUGAGCCUAGGUCGGAUUAGCUAGUUGGUGGGGUAAAGGCCUACCAAGGCGACGAUCCGUAACUGGUCUGAGAGGAUGAUCAGUCACACUGGAACUGAGACACGGUCCAGACUCCUACGGGAGGCAGCAGUGGGGAAUAUUGGACAAUGGGCGAAAGCCUGAUCCAGCCAUGCCGCGUGUGUGAAGAAGGUCUUCGGAUUGUAAAGCACUUUAAGUUGGGAGGAAGGGCAGUAAGUUAAUACCUUGCUGUUUUGACGUUACCAACAGAAUAAGCACCGGCUAACUUCGUG
rnacentral:rRNA from 1 species